UAUUUUUAAAAAAUGCAGGUGUAGUAAAUAAAAGGGGGGAGUGGUUUACUUACACGAAGGCAAAGAAUACUGCUGUUGCUCCGAGCAGUAUACUCCAGGCACAAGUUGCCGGGAUUAUUUUGGUAGAAAAUUCGCAUCGUGACAUGAUAUUUAAUAGGUUUAAGAGGGGGUAUUAGCUUGAAUAAUCAACCAAGAAAACAAAGAUGGCAUUCCUUCAGGUUGGGCCGAU
rnacentral:lncRNA from 1 species